rnacentral:ncRNA from 1 species
UUAAAGUUUGAUUAUAUCUUCAUUUCUUGUAUUUGUAUUGAAUUUGUAUGAAAGUUGAUGCAGGUAAUUAGUGAUAGCUAAAGGCGAUCACUAAGUCAAUAAUAGCUAAGCUAUAAAUCAAGAAUUCUCAGCAUAUAAUAUUAGACAAUUUAAUAAUUUAAGAUUUAGCAAUACUUUAAAGCUUGAUUAAUAUUGUGCCAGCAGUCGCGGUUAUACUUUAGAGUUAAAUAAGAAGUAUUGGCUUAUUGUUAAGUGAAGAAUUUAUAAUUGAUAAAAAUCUAGAGGAAAAAAAAGUGAAAUUGGGAUUUUCUUUUGUGGAGUUAAGGGCAAGUGUCAAUUAAAGCUGAAGCAAUAAAAUUCUGGAGUUAAACUAGGAUUAGAUACCCUAUUAUACCAGGAAUCAAUUUGUACAAGCCUAAGUAAUAGUAGUUAUGUUCUAAAAAUUUGAAAAAUUUGGCGGUGAUUUAGUCUAGUCAGAGGAACCUGUUUUUGAAUCGAUAAACCACGAAUAAUCUUGCUCAGAUUUGUAGAGUAUGUAUACCAUCAUUAUUAGGUAAUUUUUAUAGAACUAAUUACUAGAGGGGUUAAUAAUGUUAAAUAUAUUAGAUCAAGGUGCAGCUUAUAUUUGAGUUAAAAUGGGUUACAAUAAAAUUUAUUUAUUACGAAUAUGUAAUUUAAAUAUUACUUGGAAGGAGGAUUUGAUUGUAAAAUAAGUUUAAUAUGCUUAUUAGAUAUAAGCUCUAAAUCGCGUACAUAUCGCCCGUCGCUUUCAUUUUAAGAUGAGAUAAGUCGUAACAUAGUAGACUUACUGGAAAGUGAGUCUGGAUAGGGAG